rnacentral:rRNA from 1 species
ACCCGCUGAACUUAAGCAUAUCAAUAAGCGGAGGAAAAGAAACCAACAGGGAUUGCUCUAGUAACGGCGAGUGAAGCAGCAAUAGCUCAAAUUUGAAAUCUGGCGUCUUCGACGUCCGAGUUGUAAUUUGUAGAGGAUGCUUCUGAGUGGCCACCGACCUAAGUUCCUUGGAACAGGACGUCAUAGAGGGUGAGAAUCCCGUAUGCGGUCGGAAAGGCGCUCUAUACGUAGCUCCUUCGACGAGUCGAGUUGUUUGGGAAUGCAGCUCUAAAUGGGAGGUAAAUUUCUUCUAAAGCUAAAUAUUGGCCAGAGACCGAUAGCGCACAAGUAGAGUGAUCGAAAGAUGAAAAGCACUUUGGAAAGAGAGUUAAAAAGCACGUGAAAUUGUUAAAAGGGAAGGGAUUGCAACCAGACUUGCUCGCGGUGUUCCGCCGGUCUUCUGACCGGUCUACUCGCCGCGUUGCAGGCCAGCAUCGUCUGGUGCCGCUGGAUAAGACUUGAGGAAUGUAGCUCCCUCGGGAGUGUUAUAGCCUCUUGUGAUGCAGCGAGCGCCGGGCGAGGUCCGCGCUUCGGCUAGGAUGCUGGCGUAAUGGUCGUAAUCCGCCCGUCUUGAAACACGGACCAAGGAGUCUAACAUCUAUGCGAGUGUUCGGGUGUCAAACCCCUACGCGUAAUGAAAGUGAACGGAGGUGAGAACCGCAAGGUGCAUCAUCGACCGAUCCUGAUGUCUUCGGAUGGAUUUGAGUAAGAGCAUAGCUGUUGGGACCCGAAAGAUGGUGAACUAUGCCUGAAUAGGGUGAAGCCAGAGGAAACUCUGGUGGAGGCUCGCAGCGGUUCUGACGUGCGAAUCGAUCGUCAAAUUUGGGUAUAGGGGCGAAAGACUAAUCGAACCAUCUAGUAGCUGGUUCCUGCCGAAGUUUCCCU